CACUCCACUCCACUCCACUCCAGCCCACUCCAGCCCACUCAGCAAGCUCUGGAUGUCUCCAUGCAUGGACAACUUUUUCACUUCUUUCUCCGAGGAUCUCCUCCACUGGAUUAUAACUUUUUAGAGACACAUUUACAAAAACCUUUUAGAAAAUUACAUUUUUGUGUAUGUGUAUGUGCGCGUGCGCGUGUGUGAUAGAGGCUGUGAAGGACAAGUGCACUGCGCGUCUGCCUUACUGGGAUUGUCCCACUUUGAGGAGUUAUGCCGAGCUGCUUUGCUGCAGAGGAGUAACAGGAGUUGUGCAAGCUUGACUGGAGCCACAACCACCACUACCCGCUGGUUUCUCUCCCUGAGGGGAUGGUUGAGGGUCCUCGGGGGCCAGGAGCGACUUUGGGGCUCCUACACGACCGCUUUGUCUCGUUCGGGGUUCAAUCCAAAUUAAAAGGGAGAUGAGAGCCACAAUUUGUUACUUCCUGCUGUGGACGACCUACCUGCUUCUGGCCACCGCUGAGGUAAAAAAGGAAGUGCAGUUUCCCCAGGAGCUGAUAGACAGACUGGCCCACAGCGAAAUCCACAGCAUCAGCGACCUCCAGCGGCUACUGGAUAUUGAGUCCGUAGGUACGGGAAACGAUGUCAUCGAGGCGCCCAAGCAUCACAAACACCACAACAACCACCACCACCCCAAGAACUACUCCCGUCACCCUGGUUACUAUAGCGACCUGAAGAGCUCGCAGCUACACAGCCGCCGCAAGAGGAGCAUCGUGGAGGAGGCGGUCCCGGCGGUGUGCAAGACACGUACGGUGAUCUACGAGAUCCCCAGGAGCCAGGUGGAUCCCACGUCGGCAAACUUCCUGAUAUGGCCGCCCUGUGUGGAGGUGAAGCGCUGCACGGGCUGCUGCAACACCAGCAACAUGCGCUGCCAGCCCUCCCGCAAGCACCACCGCACCGUUAAGGUGGCCAAGGUGGAGUACGUCAAGAGGAGGCCCAAGCUGAAAGAGGUCUUUGUACGGCUAGAAGACCACCUGGAGUGCGUGUGCACAUCACAGCAUCACGUCGUGGAGCAUUCCGAUGCAGAAACGGGCCACCGUAGGUCUAAAGGUAAAAAAAGGAAACCUAAAAAGCUACACAAGGAUUUACUGGUGACAUAAUAAAGUCAAACCAAUUAGGCCCCCCCCCCAUCCUCCUCCUCCCUCUCAAUGCCCACUGGAGAGCUGGGAUGGGAAAAGUGGACGUGAGGUGAGAGCAAUCGGGAAAAAAUAAAUAAAAGAAGACGUCAGCAUGGGAGGGGCCUUCUUCAUUCAUCGCCACACUUCUUUGCUUCAAAGAACUUUUCCCGAAAGACAAGACUGAUGAAAAUAAGAAAUGAUGCCAAAGGUGCUUGAAAAAACAAGAACUAUUCAGUGACUGAUAAGAGGAAGAGGAGGGGAUGACGCUGUGGAGGCCAAAAGGGAUUUUCUGUGUCGAACAUUUGCUUGAACAAGACACGCAUAAGAAUUCGGUGAAAAAGUUGCAUGGAGCCUUCCAAAAAAAAAGAAAAAACAAAGUGGAUGACCUCCAGCUGGGGGUGCCCUCGAAGUAAAGGACUCUUGCGGGAAGGAGAACAUCCCGUCCCCUCGUCUAUGUACAGUUUUGCAAACUACAAACUAUUUAUAUGCUUUCUUCCAGGUGAAAGAACUGAGAGGAUGCGUGGAGAUCACCGUUUUGUUGUCAUACUUGUUGUCCUAUUAUUAUUAUUAUUAUUAUUAUUAUUAUUAUUACAGUGUAUCAAGUCUUGCGUAUGGUUUGGAUAUUUGUGUGCCAAGGAGGAGGCGUGCAGGAAGAUGCUUUAUUUUUGUUAUGAAAUAUAUUAUGCUUACUUUUAUUCAAGCAGGAAUGUUUUUUGUUGUUGGUUAUUGAAUGUCGCUAUUUAAUCCAUUUGGAAAAGAUGCAAAAAUAAUUGUUGUGCAUAAUAAGUGGUCCUUAAUGCAUUUCACAGACAACGCAUACACAAUCUAUAUUGUAUCACUGUAAUGCUGAUAAGGACGAUGCCCACCCAGUCUGCUGUAGCGACAACACACACGCACACACGGAAAGAGAGAAAGAGAACAAAGUCCACCUUAAAGAGUGAAUGAAUAAGCAGAGCAAAUCGACAAGUGCAUGAAUGGGCUCCUUGUUUAGGCAAGCUUUGCUCCUCACAAAGCCUCUACCCGCCUUUUGCGGACACACACACACACACACACACACACACACACUUUUCCAAAGGAGCCCAAAUCUGAUGGAACUAACUGAUAUCUUGUAAAAACAACAAUGGUGCUCUUCCACCGUGAGUCCAAACAGGCCAGUUUUAUACUGGCAAGCCAGUGCGUGACUGAAAACACACCAACAACACAGCAUGGGACCGUAUCAGCUGAGAUGAGACAAAGUCCACCUGGGAAUGAACCAACCAUCACUUCAAUGGUGCUUUAUUUAUGUUGUCUCAGCACUGUUUGAUUUUGUUUUCCAAUCACACAAGACAAAAAUGUAAAAAAAUAAUAAAAAUGCCUAUAGCCUUUUUUUUUAAGAAAACAAAAAACCUUUUCUUAUUUGGAUAAAGACAGCAAUAAUCAUAAUUUAUAUAUUUAUGUUCGACAAUAAAUGUAUUUGUGCUCAUGAAAUUUUCACUGAAUAUGGGUCUGAUCAUUUUUGGUUUGGAUGGGACCAGGGAUGCUCGAUCAGGGUUUCAUGCUGCCGAUUCCGAAUCCAGGGAAAAGUCUGGAUGAUUCCAAGGUGGCUGUGGGCUGGCUCUUGGGGGUCUGGUCUUGGUGCUGCCUGCCGGCUUUCUGGUGGUGGGGGCUCGGCCUGACUGUGUGGGGUGGAGCUUGCUGGGCAGUGGGAAGCAGUCCCUCUCCUUUCAUGCGUUCUCAGGGACAAUUACACGCUCACACAUUUGCACACCUUUAUACACAUGACCUACACUCAUAGAGAUACCUGAACACACGUACAUAUGCAACCUCACAGCACGUACUUCCCCACAUUACCCACUGAGUUAACCAGGGUGUUAUUGUGUUGCUGGUUUUAUUACAGCGACGGUGAUGUCGGCAAUAUGAUUCUAGUUUUUACAAUUGAAAAAUGUGCAUUACAGUUCUGAUCACCAUCAUAGUUAAUUUCAUUACUACUAUUACUACUAAUAUGUAUGACUGUUUCAAUGCAGUGUUAUUGUGGUUAUUAUCCAUCAUGGACAACACCUCUCACCCGCUACAUGACACUGUUGUUUCCCUGAGCAGCUCCUUCAGCAGCAGACUGUUACACCCACGGUGUAAGAAGGAGAGAUUCCGCAGGUCCUUCAUACCGACCGCUGUCAGGCUCUACAACACCUGCACCACCUGAACCAUGUUGUAGACACUAUGCUUUCUUUACACUGUUCUC